GUCCUAUCAACUACAGCUCUGUCUGUGAGUCUGUGGAAUAUGCAAGGCUUUUUUUUUUUUUUUACUCUGUACCUCUCAGGUUUGUUGCCAAGUGCCCAAAAAAGAGCUUAAGAAGCAUUUAUCUAUCUUUCACUGGUAUGACUGGGACCCUCUUGCUAUUCUGUUGUCCUCCAGAUAUUCCUGAGUCUUAGAGAAACUGAUUCUCUUUUUUCUCUUUUAAGAAAGUGUUUUCCCUUUUUCUUUAUGCAGCAGCGUGAUGUGGAGCUGUCAUCCCUGUGCGAUAGAUUGCAAAAUGGGUUAGUCCUCCCUUUCUUACCUCUGCUCCUGGAUAUCGCUCUCAUUUCACUUACUUAGGCAUUGUCACUUUUUGUGACGUGCUGCAGGACAUUCCCUUCUGUACCCGUCAUCCUAGCUCUGUGCAAUUGUGCUUGGUCUGGUGAUUAUUUCCAAGAAGGCAGAGUCUGCGUCAGUACUGAGACAUCUUCCUUACUCAGGUGGGCUGCUAAUCUGCAUUCACAUUUGAAGUUUCUCGACCUACUGGUUGGUAACGCUACUCAUCUCUUGCUACUUUUUCACAAAACUCAAGUCAGCAAAAGUUGCACUGACUAGUAUGAAACUCAUAAUACCUUGAACAGUGGGAAAGUGUGUUUUUGCAGAUAAGGCAGCCCAAACUACUCAUUUAACUCAGUGCGAUCCCCACACUAUGAAUCUGGCACCACACCAGGGAAAGAUAUGGGAGAAAGAAGCCAACCUAUUAUAGCAGGUAGAUCAGUACAUAUAAGUGUAGGCAAUCAUUUAAUGGGAGCCUAGCUAAAUAAGCUGCCCCUCACCUUUUGUUCUUUUAUAGAUGUUUGUGUUACUAAUUAUGCUGUGGGUUUAGGUCUGCAAAGUAAUGAGGCUGUUCUACCUGCUGAUGUCAAAAUAUCUGACUGUUUGCUGAUACUUUAAAAAAGCAGGUAGGAGAGAACUGGC
rnacentral:lncRNA from 1 species